rnacentral:rRNA from 1 species
UACGUAGGGGGCGAGCGUUGUCCGGAGUUACUGGGCGUAAAGCGCACGCAGGCGGUCUGCUAAGUUUGGAGUGACAGUUGGUGGCUUAACUGCCAAAGUGCUUCGAAAACUGACAGACUUGAGGGCUUCAGAGGGACACGGAAUUCCGGGUGGAGUGGUGAAAUGCGCAGAUAUCAGGAGGAACACCGGUGGCGAAGGCGGGUCUCUGGGCCGAUAUUGACGCUGAGGAGCGAAAGCGUGGGGAGCGAACAGG